rnacentral:rRNA from 1 species
UACGUAGGGGGCAAGCGUUGUUCGGAAUGACUGGGCGUAAAGGGUGCGUAGGCGGUGUAGCAAGUUAGAAGUGAAAUACCUAGAGCUUAACUCAGGUGCUGCUUCUAAAACUGCUAUACUUGAGUGCAGUAGAGGAAAGUGGAAUUCCUAGUGUAGCGGUGGAAUGCGUAGAUAUUAGGAGGAAUAUCAGUGGCGAAGGCGACUUUCUGGACUGUAACUGACGCUGAGGCACGAAAGUGUGGGGAGCAAACAGG